AGGCUUAACACAUGCAAGUCGAGGGGCAGCAUUCCAGUUUGCUUGCAAACUGGAGAUGGCGACCGGCGCACGGGUGAGUAACACGUAUCCAACCUGCCGAUAACUCGGGGAUAGCCUUUCGAAAGAAAGAUUAAUACCCGAUGGCAUAAUAGAACCGCAUGGUUUGAUUAUUAAAGAAUUUCGGUUAUCGAUGGGGAUGCGUUCCAUUAGGCAGUUGGUGGGGUAACGGCCCACCAAACCUUCGAUGGAUAGGGGUUCUGAGAGGAAGGUCCCCCACAUUGGAACUGAGACACGGUCCAAACUCCUACGGGAGGCAGCAGUGAGGAAUAUUGGUCAAUGGACGAGAGUCUGAACCAGCCAAGUAGCGUGAAGGAUGACUGCCCUAUGGGUUGUAAACUUCUUUUAUAUGGGAAUAAAGUGGUCCACGUGUGGAUUUUUGUAUGUACCAUAUGAAUAAGGAUCGGCUAACUCCGUGCCAGCAGCCGCGGUAAUACGGAGGAUCCGAGCGUUAUCCGGAUUUAUUGGGUUUAAAGGGAGCGUAGGUGGACAGUUAAGUCAGUUGUGAAAGUUUGCGGCUCAACCGUAAAAUUGCAGUUGAUACUGGCUGUCUUGAGUACAGUAGAGGUGGGCGGAAUUCGUGGUGUAGCGGUGAAUGCUUAGAUAUCACGAAGAACUCCGAUUGCGAAGGCAGCUCACUGGACUGCA
rnacentral:rRNA from 1 species